rnacentral:rRNA from 1 species
UACAGAGGGCCCAAGCGUUGUUCGGAUUCACUGGGCGUAAAGGGUGCGUAGGUGGCGUGGUAAGUUUGAUGUGAAAGCUCAGGGCUUAACCCUGAAAUGGCAUUGAAUACUACUGUGCUGGAGGUUUGGAGGGGGGACUGGAAUUCUUGGUGUAGCAGUGAAAUGCGUAGAUAUCAAGAGGAACACCAGUGGCGAAGGCGAGUCCCUGGACAACAACUGACACUGAGGCACGAAAGCUAGGGGAGCAAACAGG